AUGAUGAUUUGCUGCUCAAGAAACAUUGAUUAUUAGCAAUGUUGAAAACAGUUGUGCCUCAUCAUAUUUUAGUGGAAAAUGUGAUCAGUUUUAUUUUUUAGGAUUCUUUCAUGAAUAGAAAGUUCAGAGCAACAAUAUUUAAUUGAAAUAAAUAUUAUUUGUUAAACCAAAGAAGUAUAUCACAGGUUCCAUAAUAUUCGGCAGCACAACUGUUUUCAACAUUGCUAAUAAUCAAUGUUUCUUGAGCAGCAAAUCAUCGUAUUAGAAUGAUUUCUGAAGAUCAUGUGACACUGAAGACUGGAGUAAUGAUGCUGAAAAUACAGCUUUGAUCACAGGAAUAAAUUACAUUUUAAAAUAUAGUUAAAUGGAAACCAGUAAUUUUAAUUUGUAAUAAUAUAUCACAAUUUUACAGUUUUUACUGUAUUUUUUAUAAUCAAAUAAAUGCAGGCUUUGUGAGCACAAAAUAUGCUUUAAAUAAAUAAAUCAUGAUUUUUCCAAACGUUUGGUGAGUAGUGUAGACGGACAGAACUCUGUUUGAACUCUAGUUCUUUAUAUAAAUUCCCAUCAGACUCGAGCAUUAGUCAUUCCCACAGGUCUGAUAUUUUUAUCUCUCGAAUCAAUGUCAUUCCAGGCAACAUCUCAUUUGUUGGUUUGAUUUGUUUAGACUGAAGCUGCGCUAUCAAGCGUCAUGCCGGGGAUCACACGUCGGCCCAGCGCCGCCGGAGGGAAGAGACUCACUCAGCACCAGACUGUCUUUGUUUAGCUCUUACAGACAAUGAUCUUAGGAAAUGCUGGUGCAACCCUACCCAGAUCCCUAGAGAAAGUGGUGGCAGUGAUUUAUACAAGCCCAAGACGUCCGUUUGUUUGCUUUAGUCUGACUUGGGGUGUGAUGAAAUGGAAUCGCUUUCUUCCGAUUCCUAAACAAGACAGUGAGAUGUAGAAGAACGGAGAGAUUGAAAACCGAAGCAAAGUCAUGCCUCUGUGCAGAGAAAUAAACACACCCAGGGAUAGGAACGAUAAAGCCA
ensembl:lncRNA